UGGUUCAGGAUUCUGCCUUGCCCCUGGUUGGUGUGUGAGAUGGUCACCCAUGCACAGUGCCACCUUUUAGGGAGAGAGUAGUGGUGUCACUAUUAAAUGUGAUAUUUCACGAAUGGUUCUUUCACUUUCACAGCUGAAGAAACACACAUCUCUUAAGGCUUGCAUCUUCCCUCUACCUCUAUACUCCAAGUUCCUGGCUGGCACUGGAAUUACAUCUUUAGCACGGACAUCAUAACCUCCAGGUGAGAUUCAGGCUUGUUUCCGGGAAGAAACCCUGACAGAAAUUCAGAAGAACAGGAGCUGCAUUCCAUUAGGACAUGAAUACAUGAAAUACUCGUCUUGGGAACUCCUAGAAGAAUGAGCUGGGACCCACUUUCGAGUCCUGCUAGAACCAGUGACCGAGGUAAGGGCACAAACUGUCCCCCACAUCGUACAUGCCUUUUAAAAAGUUUCAUGGUUAUUUUUCCAACCUAAUUAAGUGAUUGCAAACUACAGAAAACCUGGUAGAUACCUGUCAUUAACGUACAUUAUCUUUAAUUUAAAUUGCAGUGAGUAAAGAUACAGUGUAGUAUUAGUUUCAGGUGUAAAAUAUAGAGCAACCCUUCCACACGUCAUCCGGUGCUUAUCCCAGGUGCACUUCUUAAUCCCCAGCAGCUGUUUCACCCAUUCCCCACUUUGCUCUGGAAGCCCUCAGUUUGUUUCCCAGUUAGAGUCUGUUUGUCACUGUCUUCCCCCCCCCCCCCCCCCCCCCCCCCCCCCCCCCCCCCCCCCCCCGUAAAGGAUGUCUAUUUUUAAUUGAAAUAUUGUUCACACAUUUGUUGUAUGAGUUUUAGGC
rnacentral:lncRNA from 1 species